CAUCCUCAAAAACCUUCUUUGGUUUCUUGACCAGGAAGGCUUUUGGACUUUGGAGGCUUUUGCUGGCCUUCCUUUGUUGGAGCCAGCUCCUCUGAAAUGAAUUAGUGGGGUCUGCUUUGCCGAUCCUUGACGUGAUAAGAUGCUUUCUACGUCUUGGGUUUCGCACUGGAUCCUGCUUCUAACUGUCUCAUAGAAGACAAUGGUCAAGUGAUUGCCACUUGACCCACAAACC
rnacentral:misc_RNA from 1 species